AGGAGUUUAGGAUAACAAAGACCAAGAGCCUUCAAAGCCCUAAGCAAGUAUAAAAUACUUAACCCCUG
rnacentral:tRNA from 1 species